GUAGGUGAACCUGCGGAAGGAUCAUUUCCGAACAAAAUCCAUAUCAACCAACCAUGUGAAAUGUUUUGGGUGUACUUACUGGGGGAGGGGUGGCACGUGGAUGGAUAAGAGAUGAUGGCGUGGUGUGUAACAACACUCGUACCACAUCUUUUGUUCUUUUUGCCUCCCGACUCCAGACCUUGAUGAACUACCUUGUCGCAAAGGUUGAUAUACUAUCGUCUUUUCAAAUUUAGAAAAGUAAAUGAUAUGACAACUUUUAACGGUGGAUCUCUUGGCUCGU
rnacentral:misc_RNA from 1 species